rnacentral:rRNA from 1 species
UAGGGAAUCUUCGGCAAUGGACGAAAGUCUGACCGAGCAACGCCGCGUGAGUGAAGAAGGUUUUCGGAUCGUAAAACUCUGUUGUUAGAGAAGAACAAGGACGUUAGUAACUGAACGUCCCCUGACGGUAUCUAACCAGAAAGCCACGGCUAACUACGUGCCAGCAGCCGCGGUAAUACGUAGGUGGCAAGCGUUGUCCGGAUUUAUUGGGCGUAAAGCGAGCGCAGGCGGUUUCUUAAGUCGGAUGUGAAAGCCCCCGGCUCAACCGGGGAGGGGCAUUGGAAACUGGGGGACUUGAGUGCAGAAGAGGAGAGUGGAAUUCCAUGUGUAGCGGUGAAAUGCGUAGAUAUAUGGAGGAACGCCAGUGGCGAAGGCGGCUCUCUGGUCUGUAACUGACGCUGAGGCUCGAAAGCGUGGGGAGCAAACAGG